rnacentral:rRNA from 1 species
UGGUCAAGUUAUUAAGAGUGCAGGGCGGAUGCCUUGGCACUAGGAGCCGAUGAAGGACGUGAUAAGCUGCGAUAAGCUUCGGGGAGUUGCACGUAAACUUUGAUCCGAAGAUUUCCGAAUGAGGAAACUCACUUAGAGUAAUGUCUAAGUAUCAUUAAGUGAAUACAUAGCUUAAUGAGGGGAACUCAGGGAACUGAAACAUCUAAGUACCUGAAGGAAGAGGAAGAAAUUCGAUUCCGUAAGUAGCGGCGAGCGAACGCGGAUUAGCCCAAACCAAUAAAGUUUUCUUUAUUGGGGUUGCGGACAUAUCAUAACGAAGAGGUAUCGUAAUUGAAGAGGUUUGGA